UCUUUGUGACUCUCAUGGCGGUAAAGUUAAACACUCGUGGAGGAAUACAGCGAGAGCCAGAGGGCUGCUUUGGUUAAGUCGAAUUUCAUUUUCAUUGUGAUCAGCUGCUUGCGCCGUAGAGGAGCCAUACCAUGGCAUCGGAAAGAAAUCCUUAAGGUUUAAAAGCCAAUUUUAAAAGACAAGUUGCAACUACAAAAUUCCCAACCUAGGGAUAUGCACGAACCGUUAAUACUCACUUUUUUCGGGGAAAUGGCGUCUUUCUCGGUGGAAUUCUGGCUCAGCUGUUGCGAAGUCAAGACGACUUUCUUGAUGUUGGUUUGAAGCUCCUUUGAACACUGAACUAUUGAAGCCAUUCGGAUCGUGUUUUCUGUCUGCUCGGGUCCAAUCUUGCUUGGAAUUCAGCUCAACAGUGCACCAAGAUUCGAUAUUCAUCGUGUUGACGAAAUAAACUUUAACUUUACGAUA